rnacentral:rRNA from 1 species
AUUGAACGCUGGCGGCAGGCCUAACACAUGCAAGUCGAGCGAGGGGCGGACGGGUGAGUAAUGUAUGGGGACUGCCCGAUAGAGGGGGAUAACUACUGGAAACGGUGGCUAAUACCGCAUACUAUCGGAUAACCCAUAUGGGAUUAGCUAGUGGGUGGGGUAAAGGCUCACCUAGGCGACGAUCUCUAGCUGGUCUGAGAGGAUGAUUAGCCACACUGGGACGGAGACACGGCCCAGCGUCCGACGGAGGCAGCAGUGGGGAAUAGUGCACAAUUGGCGCAAGCCUGAUGCAGCCAUGCCGCGUGUCUGAAGAAGGCCUGAGGGUUGUAAAGUACUUUCAGCGGGGAGGCGUUACCCGCAGAAGAAGCACCGGCUAACUCCGUGCCAGCAGCCGCGGUAAUUC